CGCCAUGACGGCGGGCAUCAUGGUCACUGACAGCGGGUACUGACCGUCGCGCAGCCGGCCGCGCAAGAGGAUGUGGCCGGCGUGCCCUAUGGUCACGUCCCCCCCCCUCGAAGACUACCCUAGUGCCGCUGGCCGCCAGCCGGCGCACGGAUAGCAGGGUGAGGUGGGCUGCUGGCACGUACAGCACGCCCGUCACGUCCACGAGCUGGCCUCCCGAGAGCAUCCGGAGAGUCCCCAAUCCCUUGACUGGGCUGCUGCGACCAUCCCCCCACAGCACGUGACUCACUCUCGAGGUCAGCUUGAAGUCGUGAAGCAGGUGCAGGAGCGGCGUGAUGUGAGCGAAGGUGCCGGAGUCAACGACGGGCACGUCGAAGACGGCGGCGGCGCUCCUGGAGCUGCCACCACCAGCACUGGCUGACACCACGCUGCUGCUACUGCCGCCUGCGUUGGGGCCCAGCAUGUUGUCUCCGCUCAAGUCGCGGACGACGAACACGUGGCCGCCGGAACUGGUGGUCCAGGACAACCGCGCGGUGGGGAAAGGACAGCAGGCUGCUGCUCGCGCCCGUCGGCGACGGCGCGGCGCUGCCGCUGUAGCUGCUGCUGCCGAGGCCUCGGAGGGCCAGGCUGCUGCGGCUGGUGCUGAUGCUACUGCUGCUACCGCGGACCCCACCCGCGGAGCUGCGCAGGCCGAGCCCGCCGGGUGGCUGCGCAGGCCGGGCCCGCCGUUGUCCCACCCAACUGGCUGAGAAUCCGGGUUCACUGCUGCAAUGGCUGUGGCGGCGAACACGCUGAUGCUGUCGUACAGCUGCUGUCGUACACACCGCCCCCCGCCGCCGCAGACGUAGCAGCAUUGACAGCUGCUGAAAACUGCAAGGGAACAUUCUGAGGGCAAGGGGCGAAGCCGCCGCCAGCGCCAUAGGCGCCAGCGGCUCAGCAGCAAUAUGCUGCUAGUGCAUGGUGGUCCGCACCAGCACCAGAGGCGCUAGCGCAAGAGCAGGUUGGGGACAGAUGUGUCGCCACAACAACACCGCACAGGCUUGCCCGCCCAGUCCCAACUGCGGCGAACGAGAAUACUGCGAAGCCCAUUGGCCCACUGCACGUCCCACAUCACAAAUGAAUUGCCACUUACACAGCAGAUAGCCUGGCAAGGGCUACCAUCACCGCUGCCCACUGGUAUGGUGAUGAGAUGCUGCGCCUGCCGCCGCUGCUUUACGGCGCGGCGGAACCAGGGUUGGCCAUUUGCCGCCGCUGCCCACAGGCGCGGCAGCACUUCCCGCCACCAGCGCUGCGGCAUCGCUGUUACUGCCAGCCGCACGCAUGCUUAGGCGGGGAAAUAGCUUCGACCGUCCUGACUCCGGGAGAAGCGCGAUAGGGCAGGCUGCAGACGCCACGCCUGGGCUGCCAACACACACCCCACUGCUGCGACUCACGCCGGAAUACAGAGGGAAGCUGCACGUGGCAGCGUGACAUGGGAGCGGGGUAACGCAUCUGCUGCACAGUUCCGCCGUCGCUGGCGAAACCUCCCCCUGCUACCGCACACCGCUGCUGCGAGUGCUGGAGAUGAGCAACGUACCAUAGGUCAGCAGCCGCCGUGCUAGCCGCAUAAACUCAGAACGGCGGCCUGCCGUCGCUGCUAAUCACAUAGCGCGCCGUUGCUGCUACCGCUGCUGGGCCGGGUCCGGCCGCGCUGUAGCUGAGAUGCUGAAGUCACUGCUGCUGGCGAAGUCUCCCAGCCCACGCCAGCGCUGUGCACACCGCCACCGGUCAUGCCGUGACUACCUGCUCACCCGCCGAAGCCAUUGGCUCGGCGGCGCUGCAGGCGCGGAGGCAUCACCACCGGUAACCCAAUCCCGCGGCUGAUACCCACACGUGAAGCACCUACUUGGAGGGCAGCAAGACCACCCGUAGUCCGCGGCCGCCGCAAAGACACACGUCCAGCGACGCCGCUGCCGCCGCCGUAGCUCGCAGGCACGGCGCGCUGCUUGCUGCUGCCACAACUGCAAAGUCGACUGCAGUGAUGAGGCACAAGGGAGGGGGACAGCAGGCAGCCACCAAGGCACGGGGCCCCGGCACGCUGCUGCACAAGCGGGCACCCUGUGGCGGGCCGCUGCGCACUGCUGUCUGCCGCUACCAACGCGAGGGACGCGCAGUAGCAGGCCUGCUGACGCUACGCUACUGCCGCGGUCUGCCAGCCCGCGGUCUCGCUAUAGCUUCUGCGCCCGCCGGCACGUCAGUGACGCCGGCGGUGCAGGUGCCAAGGGCCCAGCGCUGACUAUGCCGCCGCCAGCCCGACCAGGUCCAUAAAGCACGAUCAGCAGCACCACCAUAUCCCGCUGCCACCGCUGUCCACGCCGCGCGACGCCCCCGCAACUGCCAACCCCGCCAGCAGUUGAGCCCACUGCCCUACUGCUGCGGCGGUGGAGCUACGCUGAGGCACAAUGCCCGCGACGCGACCGGUGGAGACACUCACUCAAUAUUGAAGUGCCCAUGCAGGCUGCUGUGGCGAUGACGCUGCUGCAGCACUGCAGUUGCUGUCGCCCCCGCAGCUGCUGCCGCCGCUGCAGCCCGAAGGGGCGCGGCGCGCGCGCUGCAGCUAGCCGCCGCAGCCGGUUGACUCGGCCGGGGCGCACAGCUCCCACCCCUAGACACCUGACGGCGAGGCGCCGGACUGCUGCUGGAGAGUAGACGCUCCGCGAAAGCAAGCAGUCGUCCGCCGAGAGGGAGACGAGGGGGGGAAGGAGAGCAAACCGAAAGCGUCCGGGUUUCGCACACCCGUUAUCGCGACCUAACAAAGCCGGAGUCACUAAGCACAACCUACCGCGCGCGGGUCACCGCAACGCGGGGCUCAUAACCUGUUGGAGAUAUUGGGGUCGGCUGGCUAGGACUCACGGCGGGUGCGUUACACACGAGCGCAGCUAUGCUGCCUGGCACCGUAUUGGGGGGUCUGGUCCGCUACAUCCUGCGUGUGUAGUUAGCAAAACGUGCGCUCUAGCCGGGGCAAUACCCCCCGGGCGCCACGCCUGCGGCCUGGGACUGGCUGACAGACGUGACCGGCCACGAGCCGUCAACUGCCGCACUGACCUCGCCUAUCACGCGGUUCGGGACGCAACCUUGCGGGACUCACGCCCGCAAACCCCAAAUAACCAACACUCCCCCUCGGACCGAACCGGGUCCAACAGUCAACCGCCUCAUGACAGCCAACUAACAACAAGGGGAACAGGCAAGGCCAAUCACUGGCCGCAGAGGAGGAAUUACCUCCCCCUCAAAGAAGCACGUCUGGCACAGCUAGCUAGUUGACCCUAUGCACUGCAACACAGGCGCGCGUACCACAAGUCACACUGCCACCAGUCGCUGCCCAUAUGCUAUACCCAAGCUGCCAACCAGGCUCAAAUUACACGGGCGCAUCAGGCGCGCACACCGCCGCUGCUGAUGACGCCGUCACUCUAGGCUCCACUGAGUCACGCAAAGCUGGCACAAGCAGGCAGCCAGCCGUUACGCUAGAGCUGCUGUCCAGGCUGGUCGGCGCAAACUGUGGCGACGGCGUGACGUGCAGCCUCAACGGAGCUGCGCAAUCAAUGGCCGCCAUGUGGUGCCUGUUCCCCUUGUUGUUAGUUGGCUGUCAUGUGGCGGUUGACUGUUGGACCCGGUUCGGUCCGAGGGGGAGUGUUGGUUAUUUGGGGUUUGCGGGCGUGAGUCCCGCAAGGUUGCGUCCCGAACCGCGUGAUAGGCGAGGUCAGUGCGGCAGUUGACGGCUCGUGGCCGGUCACGUCUGUCAGCCAGUCCCAGGCCGCAGGCGUGGCGCCCGGGGGGUAUUGCCCCGGCUAGAGCGCACGUUUUGCUAACUACACACGCAGGAUGUAGCGGACCAGACCCCCCAAUACGGUGCCAGGCAGCAUAGCUGCGCUCGUGUGUAACGCACCCGCCGUGAGUCCUAGCCAGCCGACCCCAAUAUCUCCAACAGGUUAUGAGCCCCGCGUUGCGGUGACCCGCGCGCGGUAGGUUGUGCUUAGUGACUCCGGCUUUGUUAGGUCGCGAUAACGGGUGUGCGAAACCCGGACGCUUUCGGUUUGCUCUCCUUCCCCCCCUCGUCUCCCUCUCGGCGGACGACUGCUUGCUUUCGCGGAGCGUCUACUCUCCAGCAGCAGUCCGGCGCCUCGCCGUCAGGUGUCUAGGGGUGGGAGCUGUGCGCCCCGGCCGAGUCAACCGGCUGCGGCGGCUGCAGCGCGCGCGCCGCGCCCCUUCGGGCUGCAGCGGCGGCAGCAGCUGCGGGGGCGACAGCAACUGCAGUGCUGCAGCAGCGUCAUCGCCACAGCAGCCUGCAUGGGCACUUCAAUAUUGAGUGAGUGUCUCCACCGGUCGCGUCGCGGGCAUUGUGCCUCAGCGUAGCUCCACCGCCGCAGCAGUAGGGCAGUGGGCUCAACUGCUGGCGGGGUUGGCAGUUGCGGGGGCGUCGCGCGGCGUGGACAGCGGUGGCAGCGGGAUAUGGUGGUGCUGCUGAUCGUGCUUUAUGGACCUGGUCGGGCUGGCGGCGGCAUAGUCAGCGCUGGGCCCUUGGCACCUGCACCGCCGGCGUCACUGACGUGCCGGCGGGCGCAGAAGCUAUAGCGAGACCGCGGGCUGGCAGACCGCGGCAGUAGCGUAGCGUCAGCAGGCCUGCUACUGCGCGUCCCUCGCGUUGGUAGCGGCAGACAGCAGUGCGCAGCGGCCCGCCACAGGGUGCCCGCUUGUGCAGCAGCGUGCCGGGGCCCCGUGCCUUGGUGGCUGCCUGCUGUCCCCCUCCCUUGUGCCUCAUCACUGCAGUCGACUUUGCAGUUGUGGCAGCAGCAAGCAGCGCGCCGUGCCUGCGAGCUACGGCGGCGGCAGCGGCGUCGCUGGACGUGUGUCUUUGCGGCGGCCGCGGACUACGGGUGGUCUUGCUGCCCUCCAAGUAGGUGCUUCACGUGUGGGUAUCAGCCGCGGGAUUGGGUUACCGGUGGUGAUGCCUCCGCGCCUGCAGCGCCGCCGGGCCAAUGGCUUCGGCGGGUGCGCAGGUAGUCACGGCAUGACCGGUGGCGGUGUGCACAGCGCUGGCGAGGGCUGGGAGACUUCGCCAGCAGCAGUGACUUCAGCAUCUAAGCUACGUACAGCGCGGCCGGACCCGGCCCAGCAGCAGUAGCAGCAACGGCGCGCUAUGUGAUUAGCAGCGACGGCAGGUCGCCGUUCUGAGUUUAUGCGGCUAGCACGGCGGCUGCUGACCUAUGGUACGUUGCUCAUCUCCAGCACUCGCAGCAGCGGUGUGCGGUAGCAGGGGGAGGUUUCGCCAGCGACGGCGGAACUGUGCAGCAGAUGCGUUACCCCGCUCCCAUGUCACGCUGCCACGUGCAGCUUCCCUCUGUAUUUCGGCGUGAGUCGCAGCAGUGGGGUGUGUGUUGGCAGCCCAGGCGUGGCGUCUGCAGCCUGCCCUAUCGCGCUUCUCCCGGAGUCAGGACGGUCGAAGCUAUUUCCCCGCCUAAGCAUGCGUGCGGCUGGCAGUAACAGCGAUGCCGCAGCGCUGGUGGCGGGAAGUGCUGCCGCGCCUGCGGGCAGCGGCGGCAAAUGGCCAACCCUGGUUCCGCCGCGCCGUAAAGCAGCGGCGGCAGGCGCAGCAUCUCAUCACCAUACCAGUGGGCAGCGGUGAUGGUAGCCCUUGCCAGGCUAUCUGCUGUGUAAGUGGCAAUUCAUUUGUGAUGUGGGACGUGCAGUGGGCCAAUGGGCUUCGCAGUAUUCUCGUUCGCCGCAGUUGGGACUGGGCGGGCAAGCCUGUGCGGUGUUGUUGUGGCGACACAUCUGUCCCCAACCUGCUCUUGCGCUAGCGCCUCUGGUGCUGGUGCGGACCACCAUGCACUAGCAGCAUAUUGCUGCUGAGCCGCUGGCGCCUAUGGCGCUGGCGGCGGCUUCGCCCCUUGCCCUCAGAAUGUUCCCUUGCAGUUUUCAGCAGCUGUCAAUGCUGCUACGUCUGCGGCGGCGGGGGGCGGUGUGUACGACAGCAGCUGUACGACAGCAUCAGCGUGUUCGCCGCCACAGCCAUUGCAGCAGUGAACCCGGAUUCUCAGCCAGUUGGGUGGGACAACGGCGGGCCCGGCCUGCGCAGCCACCCGGCGGGCUCGGCCUGCGCAGCUCCGCGGGUGGGGUCCGCGGUAGCAGCAGUAGCAUCAGCACCAGCCGCAGCAGCCUGGCCCUCCGAGGCCUCGGCAGCAGCAGCUACAGCGGCAGCGCCGGUGCAGGAGCGGCGUGAUGUGAGCGAAGGUGCCGGAGUCAACGACGGGCACGUCGAAGACGGCGGCGGCGCUCCUGGAGCUGCCACCACCAGCACUGGCUGACACCACGCUGCUGCUACUGCCGCCUGCGUUGGGGCCCAGCAUGUUGUCUCCGCUCAAGUCGCGGAC
rnacentral:lncRNA from 1 species